rnacentral:misc_RNA from 1 species
UGGAAGUAAAAGUCGUAACAAGGUCUCCGUUGGUGAACCAGCGGAGGGAUCAUUACCGAGUCUAACAACUCAUCAACCCUGUGAACAUACCUAAACGUUGCUUCGGCGGGAACAGACGGCCCCGUAACACGGGCCGCCCCCGCCAGAGGACCCCCUAACUCUGUUUCUAUAAAUGUUUUUUCUGAGUAAACAAGCAAAUAAAUUAAAACUUUCAACAACGGAUCUCUUGGCUCUGGCAUCGAUGAAGAACGCAGCGAAAUGCGAUAAGUAAUGUGAAUUGCAGAAUUCAGUGAAUCAUCGAAUCUUUGAACGCACAUUGCGCCCGCCAGUAUUCUGGCGGGCAUGCCUGUUCGAGCGUCAUUACAACCCUCAGGCCCCCGGGCCUGGCGUUGGGGAUCGGCGGAGCCCCCCGUGGGCACACGCCGUCCCCCAAAUACAGUGGCGGUCCCGCCGCAGCUUCCAUUGCGUAGUAGCUAACACCUCGCAACUGGAGAGCGGCGCGGCCACGCCGUAAAACACCCAACUUCUGAAUGUUGACCUCGAAUCAGGUAGGAAUACCCGCUGAACUUAAGCAUAUCAAUAAGCGGAGGA